CACGUAGGGCGCAAGCGUUGUCCGGAAUUAUUGGGCGUAAAGAGCUCGUAGGCGGACUGUCACGUCUGCUGUGAAAAGCUGGGGCUUAACCCUGGCCUUGCAGUGGAUACGGGCAGACUAGAGGUAGGUAGGGGAGAAUGGAAUUCCCGGUGUAGCGGUGAAAUGCGCAGAUAUCAGGAGGAACACCAGUGGCGAAGGCGGUGCUCUGGGCCGGAACUGACGCUGAGGAGCGAAAGCGUGGGGAGCAAACAGG
rnacentral:rRNA from 1 species